rnacentral:rRNA from 1 species
GAUGAACGCUAGCGGGAGGCUUAACACAUGCAAGUCGAGGGGCAGCAUAAGGUAGCAAUACUUUGAUGGCGACCGGCGCACGGGUGAGUAACGCGUAUGUAACCUGUCCUUAACAGGAGGAUAACCCGGAGAAAUUCGGACUAAUACUGCAUAAAAUUAUAAAUAGGCAUCUAUUAAUAAUUAAAGCUACGGCGGUUAGGGAGGGGCAUGCGUAACAUUAGCUGGUUGGUAGGGUAACGGCCUACCAAGGCAAUGAUGUUUAGGGGACCUGAGAGGGUGACCCCCCAACUGGUACUGAGACACGGACCAGACUCCUACGGGAGGCAGCAGUGAGGAAUAUUGGUCAAUGGGCGGCAGCCUGAACCAGCCAUCCCGCGUGAAGGAAGAAUGCGCUAUGCGUUGUAAACUUCUUUUUCAGGGGGAUAAAAUUCUGUAUGUAUACAGGACUGAAGGUACCCUGAGAAUAAGCAUCGGCUAACUCCGUG